rnacentral:rRNA from 1 species
CCUACGGGAGGCAGCAGUAGGGAAUAUUGCUCAAUGGGGGAAACCCUGAAGCAGCAACGCCGCGUGGAGGAUGAAGGUUUUCGGAUUGUAAACUCCUUUUGUUAGAGAAGAUAAUGACGGUAUCUAACGAAUACUCACCGGCUAACUCCGUUCCAGCAGCCGCGGUCAUACGGAGGGUGCAAGCGUUACUCGGAAUCACUGGGCGUAAAGAGCGCGUAGGCGGGAUAGCAAGUCAGAUGUGAAAUCCUAUGGCUUAACCAUAGAACUGCAUUUGAAACUGUUAUUCUAGAGUAUGGGAGAGGUAGGUGGAAUUCUUGGUGUAGGGGUAAAAUCCGUAGAGAUCAAGAGGAAUACUCAUUGCGAAGGCGACCUGCUAGAACAUAACUGACGCUGAUGCGCGAAAGCGUGGGGAGCAAACAGGAUUAGAUACCCCAGUAGUC